rnacentral:rRNA from 1 species
AUGCCUCGGUCGGGGGCGGGGCAUGCGGUGGAUUCCUCCUCGUCCUGGGGCGGGACUGAGGCCAUGGCAGCCCGAGCAACAGCGGCGACAGGUGCGGCGAGCAGCGGGCACGACAAGCAGCAGCGGGCACGGCCGACAGCUGGUCCAUGGGCGGAGCUCCGUCACGACCGGGUCGAGCGCCAACUCCUCUGCCUCGCCCAUGGUGGACGGCGGCCUCUGCCCAGGAAGGAUCAGGCACGGGCGGCGAUUUUGCCUUGCCUUGACCAGAUUUUUUUUCUUUUUUCUUUCUUCUUUCAAUGA